CCUACGGUUGGCUGCAGUGGGGAAUAUUGGACAAUGGGGGCAACCCUGAUCCAGCCAUGCCGCGUGUGUGAAGAAGGCCCUCGGGUUGUAAAGCACUUUCAGUGAGGAAGAACGCCUGGUGGUUAAUACCCAUCAGGAAAGACAUCACUCACAGAAGAAGCACCGGCUAACUCCGUGCCAGCAGCCGCGGUAAUACGGAGGGUGCGAGCGUUAAUCGGAAUUACUGGGCGUAAAGCGCGCGUAGGUGGCUUGAUAAGCCGGUUGUGAAAGCCCCGGGCUCAACCUGGGAACGGCAUCCGGAACUGUCAAGCUAGAGUGCAGGAGAGGAAGGUAGAAUUCCCGGUGUAGCGGUGAAAUGCGUAGAGAUCGGGAGGAAUACCAGUGGCGAAGGCGGCCUUCUGGACUGACACUGACACUGAGGUGCGAAAGCGUGGGUAGCAAACAGGAUUAGAUACCCCGGUAGUC
rnacentral:rRNA from 1 species